GAUGAACGCUGGCGGCGUGCCUAAUACAUGCAAGUCGAACGCUUUGUGGUUCAACUGAUUUGAAGAGCUUGCUCAGAUAUGACGAUGGACAUUGCAAAGAGUGGCGAACGGGUGAGUAACACGUGGGAAACCUACCUCUUAGCAGGGGAUAACAUUUGGAAACAGAUGCUAAUACCGUAUAACAAUGACAACCGCAUGGUUGUUAUUUAAAAGAUGGUUCUGCUAUCACUAAGAGAUGGUCCCGCGGUGCAUUAGCUAGUUGGUAAGGUAAUGGCUUACCAAGGCGAUGAUGCAUAGCCGAGUUGAGAGACUGAUCGGCCACAAUGGGACUGAGACACGGCCCAUACUCCUACGGGAGGCAGCAGUAGGGAAUCUUCCACAAUGGGCGAAAGCCUGAUGGAGCAACGCCGCGUGUGUGAUGAAGGGUUUCGGCUCGUAAAACACUGUUGUAAGAGAAGAAUGACAUUGAGAGUAACUGUUCAAUGUGUGACGGUAUCUUACCAGAAAGGAACGGCUAAAUACGUGCCAGCAGCCGCGGUAAUACGUAUGUUCCAAGCGUUAUCCGGAUUUAUUGGGCGUAAAGCGAGCGCAGACGGUUAUUUAAGUCUGAAGUGAAAGCCCUCAGCUCAACUGAGGAAUUGCUUUGGAAACUGGAUGACUUGGGUGCAGUAGAGGAAAGUGGAACUCCAUGUGUAGCGGUGAAAUGCGUAGAUAUAUGGAAGAACACCAGUGGCGAAGGCGGCUUUCUGGACUGUAACUGACGUUGGGGCUCGAAAGUGUGGGUAGCAAACAGGAUUAGAUACCCUGGUAGUCCACACCGUAAACGAUGAGUGCUAGGUGUUUGAGGGUUUCCGCCCUUAAGUGCCGCAGCUAACGCAUUAAGCACUCCGCCUGGGGAGUACGACCGCAAGGUUGAAACUCAAAGGAAUUGACGGGGACCCGCACAAGCGGUGGAGCAUGUGGUUUAAUUCGAAGCAACGCGAAGAACCUUACCAGGUCUUGACAUCCCUUGACAACUCCAGAGAUGGAGCGUUCCCUUCGGGGACAAGGUGACAGGUGGUGCAUGGUUGUCGUCAGCUCGUGUCGUGAGAUGUUGGGUUAAGUCCCGCAACGAGCGCAACCCUUAUUACUAGUUGCCAGCAUUUAGUUGGGCACUCUAGUGAGACUGCCGGUGACAAACCGGAGGAAGGUGGGGAUGACGUCAAAUCAUCAUGCCCCUUAUGACCUGGGCUACACACGUGCUACAAUGGCGUAUACAACGAGUUGCCAACCCGCGAGGGUGAGCUAAUCUCUUAAAGUACGUCUCAGUUCGGAUUGUAGGCUGCAACUCGCCUACAUGAAGUCGGAAUCGCUAGUAAUCGCGGAUCAGCACGCCGCGGUGAAUACGUUCCCGGGUCUUGUACACACCGCCCGUCACACCAUGAGAGUCUGUAACACCCAAAGCCGGUGGGGUAACCUUCGGGAGCCAGCCGUCUAAGGUGGGACAGAUGAUUAGGGUGAAGUCGUAACAAGGUAG
rnacentral:rRNA from 1 species